rnacentral:rRNA from 1 species
UACAGAGGGUGCAAGCGUUGUUCGGAAUUAUUGGGCGUAAAGCGCGUGUAGGCGGCAUGGCAAGUCGGGUGUGAAAGCCCUCAGCUCAACUGAGGAAGUGCGCCCGAAACUGCUUUGCUUGAGUGCUGGAGAGGGUCGCGGAAUUCCCCAAGUAGAGGUGAAAUUCGUAGAUAUGGGGAGGAACACCGGUGGCGAAGGCGGCGACCUGGACAGUAACUGACGCUGAGACGCGAAGCGUGGGUAGCAAACAGG